rnacentral:rRNA from 1 species
GACACGGUCCAAACUCCUACGGGAGGCAGCAGUGAGGAAUAUUGGUCAAUGGACGUAAGUCUGAACCAGCCAAGUCGCGUGAGGGAAGACUGCCCUAUGGGUUGUAAACCUCUUUUAUAAGGGAAGAAUAAGUUCUACGUGUAGAAUGAUGCCUGUACCUUAUGAAUAAGCAUCGGCUAACUCCGUGCCAGCAGCCGCGGUAAUACGGAGGAUGCGAGCGUUAUCCGGAUUUAUUGGGUUUAAAGGGUGCGUAGGCGGUUUAUUAAGUUAGUGGUUAAAUAUUUGAGCUAAACUCAAUUGUGCCAUUAAUACUGGUAAACUGGAGUACAGACGAGGUAGGCGGAAUAAGUUAAGUAGCGGUGAAAUGCAUAGAUAUAACUUAGAACUCCGAUAGCGAAGGCAGCUUACCAGACUGUAACUGACGCUGAUGCACGAGAGCGUGGGUAGCGAACAGGAUUAGAUACCCUGGUAGUCCACGCCGUAAACGAUGCUCACUGGUUCUGUGCGAUAUAUUGUACGGGAUUAAGCGAAAGUAUUAAGUGAGCCACCUGGGGAGUACGUCGGCAACGAUGAAACUCAAAGGAAUUGACGGGGGCCCGCACAAGCGGAGGAACAUGUGGUUUAAUUCGAUGAUACGCGAGGAACCUUACCUGGGUUUAAAUGGGAAAUGCCGUAUUUGGAAACAGAUAUUCUCUUCGGAGCGUUUUUCAAGGUGCUGCAUGGUUGUCGUCAGCUCGUGCCGUGAGGUGUCGGGUUAAGUCCCAUAACGAGCGCAACCCUUACCGUUAGUUGCUAGCAUGUAAUGAUGAGCACUCUAACGGGACUGCCACCGUAAGGUGAGAGGAAGGCGGGGAUGACGUCAAAUCAGCACGGCCCUUACACCCAGGGCUACACACGUGUUACAAUGGCCGGUACAGAGGGCCGCUACCAGGUGACUGGAUGCCAAUCUCAAAAGCCGGUCGUAGUUCGGAUUGGAGUCUGUAACCCGACUCCAUGAAGUUGGAUUCGCUAGUAAUCGCGCAUCAGCCAUGGCGCGGUGAAUACGUUCCCGGGCCUUGUACACACCGCCCGUCAAGCC